CAAAGUUAAAAUAUAUGCAUUAACAUUAAUAACUUUAAGAUCUAAUGUUAGUCACGGAUAUAAUUAGUUACGUGAGUCUACAUAAAUCUCAGUAUGUGAUCAGUUCAAGAAGUAACCAUCGAGGCUGAAUGUAUCUAUGUCCAUAUUAUAUUCCUUAUAUCCAUGGCAGCGAAGCACACCGCGCCAUCUUGCUGAAUCUGCCGAUUUGAGAUCUAUCGCCUUCAAAGCUACGGAUGGACAUGAUUAUUUUCGCCUCACACCCUCACCGCAGCGUUAUGUUACUGUGGUACUGUGAUCAACGCGAAAUAAGCCAUGGACUAUCUCGACAUAAGCUUUAUUUUACGGGAAACAAUGAAGGUCAGCAGGGGACAACAAGGCGUGGCAACCGUCUGCGCUUCGAUUACAGAGUCGGACAGUUGUUCGAACCACUCACCACCCGAGCCAUAAGAGAACGCCAGCCAUGGACGCCUUGGAAAUAACGCAAAGGAAAUAGAAAAAAGAAAUGACUUGAGAUUUGCGGCACAGUAUCGCACAGUAUCUACAUGCCGCACAUGGAUGAAGCAAGAAUUGGAGAGGAAGGAGAAUGUAAACUAUCAAGACGAGGAAAAACAAGUGAUAAGCAAGAGACUCCCACGCAGCACUCCUGACACGCUAUCGCCAGCAGGUCAAAGCUCCACGAGGCCCAAGAUUGAACCCGGAGCAACAGGAGGAGGAGAGAGAGAGAGAGAGAGAGAGAGAGAGAGAGUAGACAACAAAGAAGGAGCAAGAAGGUGAUUCGUUUGUACUGCUUCACUGCUUGGGGUUCGGAGGUGAGCGUGUGAGUGUGAAUGAACCGCAAGAGGGAGGGAGAGGGAGGAGAAUAAGAGAGGGAGAGAGGGAGGAACAGACACACAAGCACACCUACACACACAGACAUACAGGAGGGGAAGUCAGGAGGGUGAGCGAGUGAGGGACACGAGGACUAACUUGCUUUGCUUCGCUAUUGUUACCUCGUCUUAUUUUCCCUUGGCCUCGCAGUGCAUACUAGAAACAGAUUAACUUAACUGGACCAGUCUGGGGGAGAGGGUGUUCUGAGUAAAGCAAGGGAGCGAGGGGAGACUGGUGGUGGCCGGAACAGGGGAGAGGGAGAGAGCGUGGCAUUAAGGGAGGGAGUGGAAGUUAAGUCAGGGAGUGAGACAUGGUGGAACAGGGAGAGGAAGGGAGUCAAGACAAGGAAACCAGGGCAGAGGGAAGGGGUUAUAGGAGAGAAGGGGAAAAGAAGGAAGCAGGGAGAAAUGGAGCAGACAAGGAGAAACAGAGUUAUGAGGAUAGACAUAGAGGAAAGGAAAAUAGUAAUAGAGGAAGGAAAGACAAGGAGAGGAAAGACAGGGAGGAGGAGAAGGAGGAAAGGCAGGGAGAGGAGGAAGCAAGGAGAGGGAGAAAAAAGAGAAAAGACAGAGAGAAGAAAACUGGGACAGACAAGACAAAGAUAUAAAGGGGAAAGAAAGAAAGGAGAAGGAAAAAAACAAAAGAGUGACGAGGAGAGACAGAGAAAAGAGAGAGAAAAGAAACCCAGGGAGAAAGGGAGCGAGAAAGAGAGGAAGGGAGGCAGUGGAAGGGUGAAAACGCCUCACUCAUGAUUUUUUCCCCUGUCAGUGAACAAGAUUACCUGAGUGGACGAACGGAAGUCCCUGUACAGGUAACGAGGUACAGGUAACAGGUACAGGUAAUCCAAGCAACAGGGAGAGGCGCGAGAACAGAACCCCCCUCCCGACUGACUGGCGCCUCCAUGCAAGCGACUGUCUGACGAGGAAGCGGAAGCACAGGAAGACGAAGACAAGGUAAUACAUGGAAAGAUAAGAAUGAGGAGGGAAGGAUGGGUUGAGUAUCGAGGAGGAGAAUGAAGGGGCGAGGACGAGAAGGGAGAAAUAAUGAAGGACGAGGACAGAAGAACGAGAACAUAAGAAUAUAGAAGGAAUACAAAGAUGGAA